CUGCUCGCUGUCACGGUCGCGGUAUUGGCCGCGGGCACCGGGGAGCCUCGGGAGACCCGGGAGCCACCGAACGUGACGCCCGGUCGGUGAUCGCCCCAAGUGGGAGCGCGCCCUCCCGGGACCGCCGGCUUGUGGAGGCGAGGCCGCUCCUGAGCCUGGCCAGCACCUUUCCCUCUGGCCUGUGACAGCUAAGAGCGGAUAAAGAUGAAUGUCAUGUGUCAUCCAAUAUGAAAGUUUUGGAAGUUAGAAGACAGACUAAGAGCAAAGAAUAAAGUCUGGCAACUUCAGCAGUAAUUUCAGCCAAUUUGCAUUUAAUGGAAGAAGACCAUUGUCUGCUCAUGUAUAUAUCUAACUCAUAAUAGGAGUGUGAGUUAAGCAAGACUCUGAAGCUGUUUAAGAGUUGACUGGGAAAUGAGCAGUUUGAACAGUGGAAGGGUUGAGGGACUACUCAGUAACAA
rnacentral:lncRNA from 1 species